UACGGGAGGCAGCAGUGGGGAAUAUUGCACAAUGGGCGCAAGCCUGAUGCAGCCAUGCCGCGUGUAUGAAGAAGGCCUUCGGGUUGUAAAGUACUUUCAGUCGUGAGGAAGGUGUUAAGGUUAAUAACCUUAGCAAUUGACGUUAGCGACAGAAGAAGCACCGGCUAACUCCGUGCCAGCAGCCGCGGUAAUACGGAGGGUGCGAGCGUUAAUCGGAAUUACUGGGCGUAAAGGGCACGCAGGCGGUUAAUUAAGUUGGAUGUGAAUCCCCGGGCUUAACCUGGGAAUGGCAUUCAAGACUGGUUAGCUAGAGUCUUGUAGAGGGGGUAGAAUUCCAUGUGUAGCGGUGAAAUGCGUAGAGAUGUGGAGGAAUACCGGUGGCGAAGGCGGCCCCUGGGACAAGACUGACGCUCAUGUGCGAAAGCGUGGGGAGCAAAC
rnacentral:rRNA from 1 species